GACGAACGCUGGCGGCGUGCUUAACACAUGCAAGUCGAACGGAAAGGCCCUGCUUUUGUGGGGUGCUCGAGUGGCGAACGGGUGAGUAACACGUGAGUAACCUGCCCUUGACUUUGUGAUAACUUCAGGAAACUGGGGCUAAUACCGGAUAGGAGCUCCUGCUGCAUGGUGGGGGUUGGAAAGUUUCGGCGGUUGGGGAUGGACUCGCGGCUUAUCAGCUUGUUGGGGGGGUAGUGGCUUACCAAGGCUUUGAAGGGUAGCCGGCCUGAGAGGGUGACCGGCCACAUUGGGACAGAGAUAGGGCCAAGACGCAAACGGGAGGCAGGAGUGGGGAACAUUGCACAAUGGGCGGAAGCCUGAUGCAGCAACGCCGCGUGCGGGAUGACGGCUUUCGGGUUGUAAACCGCUUUCGCGUGUGACGAAGCGUGAGUGACGGUAAUGGGUAAAGAAGCACCGGCUAACUACGU
rnacentral:rRNA from 1 species